rnacentral:tRNA from 1 species
GCAGGUAUGGUGGAAUAGGCAGACACAAGAGACUUAAAAUCUCUCGGGGGCGACUCCGUGCCGGUUCAAGUCCGGCUACCUGCA